AUUACUUUGGCAGAAUAGUGCGAUGAAUUUAGAAUUCAUGAAUGUAAUUGUAUUACAAGUAAUA
rnacentral:tRNA from 1 species